AAUGAACGUUGGCGGCGUGGAUUAGGCAUGCAAGUCGAGCGGAAAGGCCCGCAAGGGCACUCGAGCGGCGUAAGGGACAGUAAUGUGUAGGUACGUACCCCUGGGUCUAGGAUAGCUGCGGGAAACUGCAAUUAAUACUAGAUGAUGUCUUCGGACCAAAGGUGUGAUUCCACCCAGGGAGCGGCCUACAUCCUAUUAGCUAGUUGGUGAGGUGACGGCUCACCAAGGCGAAGAUGGGUAGCAGGUGUGAGAGCACGACCUGCGUCACUGGGACUGAGACACUGCCAAGACACCUACGGGUGGCUGCAGUCGAGAAUCUUCGGCAAUGGGCGAAAGCCUGACCGAGCGACGCCGCGGGCGGGAUGAAGGCCUUCGGGUUGUAAACCGCUGUCGGAGGGGAUGAAAUGCCGAUGGGUACUCCCAACGGCUUGACUGAUCCUCGGAGGAAGGGUGGGCUAAGUUCGUG
rnacentral:rRNA from 1 species